CAGGUGCUCCUGCUGAAUAUCCUCCAGACCAAGGCAAAAAGGGUGGGAAAAAGAAAACUCCAGAAGAAGUGAAGAAAACUUCUAAGGUUGCUGGCAAAAGAAAAGCAGAUGUCAGUCCUGCCAAGAGAAAUGCUGGAAA